UUUUCCCCUGCUCUGGAUCUGCGCACCGGAGAGGCGCCGAGAGACAUCCGAACCUGCGGUGCCUCCUCUUCCUCACCAGACCCGGCUGCUGAGGGUGCGGAGCUGCUGCUUUCCCGAGGGAAGGAUGUCAGACAGCCCUUUGAGUACAGCCCGAAGGAGAACUCUUCCCUGUGGCUGAGCCCUCUCGCCAUCUCUGCCCCUUGGGAUCAAUCCCUCUCCCGCGGGCAGGAAGAACAGCAGCUUGCCUCAGUUUACCCAAAGAGCACGAGGGUUACACUGUAGCUGAAUCAGGUGAAGCUGGGUUCCCAUCCUGCUGAGCCCUCCGGCAGCCUCCCCUGUCCUGGAGGGACAAGGGCUCCUGCACAGGCAGAUCCCAUCUGCAGCCAUCCCAUCUGGGAAGCAGAAAGGUGCAGAGGGACCUGAUAAAGCAGCUUUGGUGGGCACCCGACACCCAGCUGGGCCCAACCCACCCCAGAGAUUCUGCACAUGCAGGGGGAGCCAAGGCGAGUGGGAGAAUUGCAGCAAAAUCUGACUGAAGACCUGACAGUAAAAGCUGCUCCUCCACGGAGCUGGGCCAGGGGAGCCCUGUGCAUUCCAUGGGUGUUGGAGGCUAGGCUGAACUGGGAAUGCUGAGUGUCCCCCAGGCCAUCCCAGGGACCUGGGCCCAGCACAGCCGUGGCCUCUCCACUUCUGCAGCAGCUGCUCUCAUCCCCACUGAAUGCCAAACCUCCAGGACACACAGGAUCCAGACCCAGCAGCUUCUCAGGGUGAGAAGCCCUGGCAGCACCCUUCAGUCCCAGCUGAUUUCAGAGUAAGAAGCUGUCAUGCUUAAAACCACGACAGAAGCUAACCUUCUAACAUAUUCCUGAAAAACUGUUUAGUCUUAUUUCCAAGUGGAAGACCGACAAGAAGAACAUUCCAUUUUCCUCAUCAGAAUUUGAGAAGACAUAAUGAGAAGUGGGGCAAAGAAACCCUGGACCAGCUCCAGGGGGGCAGCACCUGGGGGAAAAACUCCCUUACCAACUGCUUUUCUAAUUGGACAAUACUUGUUAGAUAUGCUAAUUUGUUAAAUCUAUAAAAAUUGUAAAAGUCCAAUACUAGGUGUGCCCAUGACUACUGGGACACCUGGAAGCUUCCAAAUAAAGAUCUGUGGUUUAUUUUA